ACUACUUAUACUUUACUUCCUGCUGCAGUUCCAUCUGACAACAGCAUGCUCACAUUACUCCAGGACCGGUUUCACAGUGUCAAAAUUGUGGGGAGAAGAGGAGGAGUUGCACCAGUCGAAGCUCUCUGCAUCUUGUGUCAUUAAUCCAAGUGGGCCGCUACACAGUCUGCUUUGCCGGUCCAAAUGCAUCCGAUGUUUUCCGGAGUCUUCCCUCGUCGGCCAGUAAUCAAACCAACAUUCCGCCUGAAUGCAGCUGGGAUAGGCUCCAGCAACCCCAUGACGCCGAGAAGGACAAGCAGAAAGAAAAUGGAUGGAAUUUUAAUACUCAGCCUGGUAAACAUUCUGUAAUUGCAGGCUAUCAAUCAGGACUGGUUAUAAAAUAAUACCCACUUAAUUCCCAUCUGCUUUAAAGCAUUUUUUUCGAUAGAAAUAUCACUGAUUACAUUAUAAAACAUCUCUGACAAACAAUAAUUGUAAAGUAAGACUAUUUUAGACCAGACCAGAUGAGGAGUGCAGCGCUAUUAUUGUGAAGCCGAAAAUGCGUGAUUGGUUUAAGAAUAAGUGUUUCGACAUUU